GACGAACGCUGGCGGCGUGCUUAACACAUGCAAGUCGAACGAAGUGGCGAACGGGUGAGUAACGCGUAAUCAACCUGCCCUUCAGAGGGGGAUAACAGUUGGAAACGACUGCUAAUACCGCAUACUGAAGGAGGGGAUUGCGUUGGUUUAGCUCGUUGGAGGGGUAACGGCCCACCCAGGCGAUGAUCAGUAGGCGGGUUGAGGGGGUGAACGGCCCCAAUUGGACUGAGACACGGCCCAGACUCCUACGGGAGGCAGCAGUGGGGAAUCUUCCGCCAUGGACGAAAGUCUGACGGAGCAACGCCGCGUGAGUGAUGACGGCCUUCGGGUUGUAAAGCUCUGUUAAUCGGGACGCGGUACCGGAAUAGAAAGCCACGGCUAACUACGUGCCAGCAGCCGCGGUAAUUC
rnacentral:rRNA from 1 species